CAGAUUUCUCUGGUCUCUCUCACAGAAGCAGUUCCUCUCUUCCUCUCAAAUCUCCAGCUAGAGCUCUGCUAGGGCACGACCUCCUCCUACCUCCAAGCUAUCAAAAGCAGCUCGUGACUCUCUGCUCUCUAAUAUAGUUCCGGAGCUGCUAUUAUCGUUGUUUUGCGGGUCUGUUGUUUUUGGUGCUCAAACGAAGAUGAGAGGGAGACUCGAGGUGGAUCCGGGCGACGCAGCGGUACGAUCUAGUUGUCGGCCUUGGUGACCUUAGGAGUAGUUUCAUGGCCAUGAGGCCUUUUGUAUUAGUUGCCUUAGUGACAACCUUUUUGCAAAACUGUUGCACUCUUUUAAAUUCUCCUUUGCUUAGGACUAUGUGGUACGCCUAAGCUUCCUUUUAAGUACUUCAGGAUGACUGUAAUAGUUAUCUCCUUUACGUUUUAUAUUCAUCUAAGUACUUCUCGUUAUUAUAUAUAGUGUGAUAUUUUAUUUAGUAGUGUAAUCUAUUAAAAUGGGAUGUCACAAUAUUGAUGACAACUUCCCAACUAACAUCUGAAGAAAAAAUAAUCUUCGUUUAGGCUGAUCGAA